rnacentral:lncRNA from 1 species
GAGGGGGCAGUGUGCUAGGGCACACCUCGAGCCCAGGGAGGGUCCUUACUCCGGGGGGGGACAAAAGUGACAAAUAGCAUUAAUAUGGGUUAAGACCCAGACUGCAGUGCAGUGGGUUAAAGGAUCCAGCAGCUGCGGCUCAGAUUCAGUCCCUGGCUGGGGAACUUCUGUAUGCGUGGGUGCGACCGUAAAAAAACUAAUAAUAGUGAUAGUAUUUCUGAUGUGCUUACAGGGUGCCAGCAGCUUGGCAUCUGAUCUCCUGGGUCCGGAUUAGGUUUGCCUUCAGUUGGUGAGUGGAACCUGGGCCCUUAGGGGUUAACUAGCAAAAUGCCCAUGGCUGAUGAGCGACUCUGCUGGGGUGUGAACCCAGGAUUCUAGAUGCCAGCGCUCAGCUCGUGGGCCAGCUGGGGUGUAGCAUAAACUACUCUGGGGGUCAGAGCAUAAGCCUGAGUCUCAUUCCUUGCUUUGUCUCGUACCAGCUGUGUGGCCUCAGGCAAGUCGGGCAACCUCUCUGAGCCUCAAACCUUCUGCUGUGGCACAUAAUACAUGACAUUGACAUAUGUUCCCACCAGGAUAGUGCGAGCAGAUCCACCCAUUUCGAGCCUGUGACGGUGGUUUGAAAGGCGGAGAAGGACCUCUCAGUGCUCCUGGAUGAACAGGCUUUUGGUUGGGUUGGAGAGGGGAAGGUGGGGUUGGGUGGGGCCCUAGGGAGCCUCAGAAUCCAGGGACAGUGUUCCCGAGCCUUUAUUCUUGGGAGGCGGGGCUGGCCUGGCUGCGUCUGCAUUCUCACACACCCUCGCUGGCCUCCUCUGCUGCUUCCUAGUUUCCCUUUUCUGCUGUGGAUCUAAGCCUCUGGAAAUGAAAUCUCAAAUCCUGGGAGGCUUUCGCAUUAAAUACAGCCCUUGAGAGCUUGCUAGGUCAAGGUCCUGGGGACAAGCUUCAGGUGGCUGGAGAAAAAGGUGCACCAUUUUCCAGGGCUUGGGGUAGGUUUGUGGGGGGUAGUUUUAUUACAUGCUCAGAAAAGUAGCCAUGACCACUGAAGAAAGUCCUGCAAAGAGAGGAAGUGUGAAAAAGAAAUCUCUCAGAACCACCCCUCCUGGAAAGUACCUAUCUUAACACUUUGGAGAAUUUCCUUUUGCUGUAUGUUUUUCAGUUCCUGUAUUGUUACAUCUGUCAUUCUGAUCCUGGUGUUAUUUCCUUUGUCUUUUAACAAUUUAACAGUGUAGCAGAUGUUUCGUCCUUGUUAUUUUAAAUUCCUCAUGAGUGUUAGUGAGAUGCAGACUUUUCCAUGGUAUGACAGCUAUUUCUCAUACCACGAUACACUUAGUAAUCUCCUUAAGGUGGAUUGUGUUGGAGCUCUGUGGCAUUUUGCUACGAAAAAUAACAGGAUGGUAGAUAAAGAAGUUGUGGUUUUUAUAUACCAUGGAAUAUUACUCAGCCGUAAAAAAGAACGAAAUCCUGCCAUUGGCAGUAAUGUGGGUGAACCUAGGGGGUAUUAUGCUAAGUGAAAAAAGUCAGGCAGAGAAAGACAAACACUGUCUGAUUUCACUUCUAUGUGGAAUCUAACACACAAAACAAACGAACAACCAUAACAGAAUAGAAACAGAGUUUUAGAGAUAGACAGCAAUAAAUGAGUCACAGCUAUGAAAUAUGCAAUGGGGGGGGAUAUAGUCAGUAAGUAUGUACCAUCUUUUUUUUUUUUUUUUUUUUUGCCAUUUCUUGGGCCGCUCCCUCGGCAUGUGGAGGUUCCCAGGCUAGGGAUCAAAUCGGAGCUGUAGCCACUGGCCUACGCCAGAGCCACAGCAACACAGGAUCUGAGCCGCAUCUGCAACCUACACCACAGCUCACGGCAAGGCCGGAUCCUUAACCCACUGAGCAAGGCCAGGGAUCGAACCCGCAACUUCACGGUUCCUAGUCGGAUUCGCCAACCACUGAGCCACGACGGGAACUCCAAUUAUGUACCAUCUUUGCGUGGUGCAAUGUUAUAACUAGACGUACCGUGGUGAUCGUUUUGAAAUAUAUAGAAAAAAAAUAGCCGUGCUGUACGCCAGCAACUAACAUAGCGUUUGUAGGUUAGUUACACUUCAAAAACGAUUCAACAUACAAGCAGACUCAUAAAAAAAGAGAUCAGAUGUGUGGUUCCCGAGGUGGGAAGGUGGGGGAGGGAGAAUUGGAUGGAGGAGUGAAAAAGUGCCAACUUCCAGUUGUAAGGACUGGGGUCGUAAGGUACCACGUGAUAAAUAAAAUGAGCACUGCGGUAUAUUGCAUAGGAAAAUUGUUAAGAGACUGAAUCCUAGGAGUUCUUAUUAUGAAAUUUUUUCUAUUUCUUUAAUUCUGUAUCUAUAUGAGGUGAUGGAUUUCCGUAAACUUACAAUAAGUGCCUGAUGCAAGUCAAACCAUCAUGCUGCACAUGUUAAACUUAUGCAGUGCCGCCUGUCAAUUCUAUCUCAGUGAGAAUGAAAGACAAAAAUAACUUGAUGAUAAACCCCUCUGUCCGCACGCUGAGCCAUUUCCAGGAACAGGUUCCUGCAAGGAGGAGCCGAGCUCUCGUGGAGGCUUUUGAUGCUGCACACAAAUGCCCUCUUGUUGGAGACGAGUGAGCAGGGCUCCGCUGCAGGGGCUCGUGCUGCUGCUGAAAAGAGAACAGAAGCCAUGUGCUCCUGCCUCAGAGGAAAGGUACCAAAUGGACCAGACUUAGCAUCUCUUCUUGAUGAUUUCAAAGGAGCUCUAGGAGUCCUGAUGAGCUCCGUGAAGUUUCACCCGAAGCUGGGAUGUCUAGGAUCCCUCAGAAGGUGGAAGUGGCAGGACGCAGACGCUUCCGUGCUGCUGGGAUGGGAGCUGCCUCCAGCAAGACGGGGUUCACUGCAGAGGAUCCCCCAACACAGAGCAGCUGCCUGUGCACACACCCACCUCCCCUCGCUGCACUCUCUGAGCAUCCCCCGUUCUUAAUUCUCUGUCACUGGCCUCUGGACAUCUGCUCUGUUAUGCCUUUACUUCUUAGCUGAGUCUCUCGUGCACCUAGAACUUAAGUUCCCUUCACCCAUGGUGCCCCUGCUGUAGCCCCACCGCUCGUCACAUUACCUGACACGUAGCAGGUACUCAGUGAAUAUGUUGAUUGAAUGAAUGAAUGAAUGAAUGGGGGAAGAUGUAAAAGCCAGCUCACUGUCCCCCGAUCAAGGUUGUUUGAAGUAAUAGGACUUGACUACAUUGAUUUAUUGAAUUAAGUGUGCCUGCUACAUCAUCUCAGACACAUGCAGGGUAACCCCUCGAGGUGGCUCCGUUGUUAUCCCGAUGCCUGCCUCCUUGACCUUGCAACAGGAAUAGCACUUCCCCAUGUUGUUAAACAUUGGCGAGCCAGAAUUUUUCUUCCUUUAACGUAUAUAAGAACAUUCCAGAACCUGCUCGAUAUACUCCUUAACACUUAGAAUAGCUUGCCCGGGAAUUGCUGGGGUGUAGAAGAUACCCACAGGUAGCUUACUCUGGAACUGCCAGGGCGUGUCCUAGGGCGGCCCAUGAGCCCACCGUCCCAUCAGCAGGGCACGGGUUCCGGUAUCUGCACCCGCCCCUGGCACUCAGCAUCGCAGUGCCUGCUCAUUUGAGCCAAGCUAAUAGGUGUCAGGAAUGUCUCAGCAGUUUUUAUUGGCAUUGCUGUGAUUGCUCAUGAGGCCCUGGACCGCUGCGCUUGCCCUGCCCUCAGCUUGGCCCCUCUCCCGCCCCGGACUCACUCUCUCUUCUGCGCGUCUUUCAAGAUUCAGGACAGACAUUUGUCCCUGCAGUGGGCUCUGGUGCCCGGCCUCUCCCCUCUGCUCCGCAGGCCGCCCUUCCAGAAUAGCAGCUAAAGGCAUGUUUUCAGGUCUGGAAGCUCAUAUGGCUGUGAUCAAAGCCUGUUCCAUCACCUACAGGCUGAGAAACCUCAACCAAGGGCCUUAACUAAGUCUCUGAGCCUCAGAGUCCUCACCUGCAAAUGAGGGGUUAAAAAUAGUACUCCCCCCCCCCAGGGUUGGAGUGGGAGUACAAAAAAAAAAAGGAAAAAGCUUAAUUCUGAGCGGUGGGGAUACAGACUGUCACCUGCCUCCCCCAGCCCCACUCUCUUUUCUACUUCUACUAGUUGUAAUUACAGUGUAAGCCUCUGCCGCCCCCCCCAAAAAAAAAUCUCCUGGGAGAGAAUUUUCUUGACAAUUUCCUGAGCUUAUUUAUGCCAAGUAUUUGGCGUACAGCAGGGCUGAAUUCACGGUAGCCACUGGGUUUCAGCGCCCAUGCGGUCCUGCGUUGCCAUCAGACCGGCUUCCACAGCCUGGAAGGAGUCGCGGGUGGAGCUGGAUUUGCUGCAUUUUUAUAUUUUCAGCUCCUGGCAGUGUUGGGUAGAUAGAAAGCCCUGGAACAAAUCUUGUCAGCCUCUCUGGAGGAGAUUUAAGCAUCAAAUAGUGGGUUGGUCUAGAUGCUUUUUCAAAGUCUCUUCCAGCCCUGAAAUUCUGUGAUCAGGAAAUUACCCAGGAAAAAGUUCCCUUUGCAGGCUUCUUUCUAAGGUUUCUAAAUGGGGCUUUAUUACACACUGCAGGUAAUUAUAGAGGCUGAAGCGGCCUCAAGGAGCUCUGUGUGGCCUGGUGUCGCUGGUUGGUACAUUUCAGAGGCUAUCAUCUUUCCGCUGACCAGGGGAUCGGAAUCCUGACCAGGGGAUCGGAAUCCUGGCAAAGGCAGGCCCUCUCUUCAGCAGGGCAGUGGGAGGUGGCCCCGGAGGACGCGUCCUCUAGCUGGCAGCCCUCCACUCUCUGCUCCAGGGGAAGCCAGCACUAGUGGUGUGUGAAUAAUAUCAGGAAAGUCACAGAAAGCAGGAGCAAAGGAGACCUUGGGGACACCCAGUUCAGGAGGCACAACCUCUCUGUUCACAAGGACCGUGUGGGUUAUAUGAACAGAUAAAGAGACCUGGGUAGGGCAAUAGGGAGUAGUGGGGCCUGUGACAGACUAGAAAACUGAUCAGUUUCUGCUCAGCCCCUGGGGUUGUUGGUUUGGGGAACAUGGGCUCAGGGUUCCUGGAUCUGCCCCUGCUUUACCAAAAGAAGAGCUAGAGGUCCAGGGUUUUAUGUAGCUCUUUCUGAUUUUUGAAAGUUAGAGCUAAUUCAAAGUUUUGUCAGUCGGGGUAUGGCGCAGACAAAAUAGGCUUGCGAGGCUUGUGAGUUUCCAUAUCCUCUGAUUUAGCAUGACAUUUGGCAGAUUGGGAAACUGAGGUACAGAAUGGGGGAAUUUGGCAAAGUUUCCUGGGGAGGCUUUGACCUUGAGGGACAUAAAGAAUGGUCUGGCAUCCCAGGGGGCUCCUAACCCCACCUUCUCCCAAGGCAGGACCUGAGGCCCAGAGAGGGAAGGAGGCUAGCUCUGUGUCACACAGCUGGUAAUGGCAGAGUCUGGGGUAGGGCUGGGGCUUCUGGGCCCUCCUCCAUGGGACUGUCCACCAACGGUACUGCCAGAAAUGACCCUGGAAUGGUUUUGGUAAAGAGCAUGGCAGAGGGCAAGUUCUGACUUGUCGUCAGGCAGCAGGAAAAGGCUGGCCCAUGAGAGGCAGCUAUGCCAGGGAACUCCCCCUGUGCGGGGGAUCUGUUUGUGCAUGCGCUGAACUAACCCUUUCAGCUCUGAAGGUGCACAGGUCAGCCUGGGGGUGGGGGGACAAGAGGUCUGGAAAAUGGAGAAGACAGUGGGGAGGAGGAAGGUGAAUCAUCCCCAAAAGACAUCAAGGGAGGGGGGUCACUGCGCCAUGGAGUGUGAGUAGGGUUGGCUGUCCAGUGAGAGGAAGCUGGAUUUUGCCCAGAGGGCUUUGGAUUGGCCAAGGGGCCAGUGUAGAAAUGCCCACUGUGGGCUCCCUGUCUCUAAAACUCUGGGAGAGCCCAAGCUUGAAGAGAAGGCCUCAAACCCUGGACCCGAAAGGCAGGGUCUUGGCAGGCAGACCCUGCGAUGUCCGGACCCCAUGUCACUCCCAACAGUGCAGGACCUCGCCAGCCCCCCACCCCAUCCAUUCCAGCCUCGCUCAUCUGCUCAGAGGCCAGGGCUUCAGAGGUCGGUCAGCGUGGUUAUCCUUCAAAUCCCAACAUGUAGGAAAUGUCUCUUUGCUGCUUGAAUCACUCCGAUGGGUAGUGAGGUUGAACCGUUCUUUAUAGUGCAGGGGUCACCUGCAUUCCUUUUGUGUUGAUUUGCCUUUCAUGUCCUUUCCGCAUUUAAAAAAGAAAGAUUACUUCAAGGCAUUUGAUCCCACAGAGCAGGG